rnacentral:lncRNA from 1 species
CCAAAUACAGUAAAUAUGGCGACCACCCUCUCCCAUGAUUUCACGAAUAUUUCGGCCAUUUUUACUCCGUUCAGCACACAUUUCAAACAUCCGAUAUUUUCAACGUUUUCUGCAGCAAGCAGUUCACUUUUUGAAGUAUUUUAGCAGGAAAAUGUCAGCAAAAUUCGAGGACAGACUAGCAUUUUACAAAAAAUUCAAUUUGAACCGCC